UCCGGUAAUAUCACGUUGAAACACCGCUUCCCAUAUGAUAAUCGAAGUUAAGCAACGUCGAACCUGGUCAGUACCUUGAUGGGCGACCGCUUGGGUAUACCAGGUACUGCAAG